rnacentral:rRNA from 1 species
GAUGAACGCUGGCGGUGUGCCUAAUACAUGCAAGUCGAGCGAACAGACGAGGAGCUUACUCCUCUGACGUUAGCGGCGGACGGGUGAGUAACACGUGGAUAACCUACCUAUAAGACUGGGAUAACUUCGGGAAACCGGAGCUAAUACCGGAUAACAUGUUGAACCGCAUGGUUCAACAGUGAAAGACGGUCUUGCUGUCACUUAUAGAUGGAUCCGCGUCGCAUUAGCUAGUUGGUAAGGUAACGGCUUACCAAGGCAACGAUGCGUAGCCGACCUGAGAGGGUGAUCGGCCACACUGGAACUGAGACACGGUCCAGACUCCUACGGGAGGCAGCAGUAGGGAAUCUUCCGCAAUGGGCGAAAGCCUGACGAAGCAACGCCGCGUGAGUGAAGAAGGUCUUCGGAUCGUAAAACUCUGUUAUUAGGGAAGAACAAAUGUGUAAGUAACUAUGCACGUCUUGACGGUACCUAAUCAGAAAGCCACGGCUAACUACGUG